UACGAAGGGGGCUAGCGUUGUUCGGAAUUACUGGGCGUAAAGCGCGCGUAGGCGGAUUUGUUAGUCAGGGGUGAAAUCCCGGGGCUCAACCUCGGGACUGCCUUUGAUACUGCAAGUCUCGAGUGUGGAAGAGGUGAGUGGAAUUCCUAGUGUAGAGGUGAAAUUCGUAGAUAUUAGGAAGAACACCAGCGGCGAAGGCGGUUCACUGGUCCGGUACUGACGCUGAGUGGCGAAAGCGUGGGGAGCAAACCGG
rnacentral:rRNA from 1 species